CAUCUCUUUUUGUUAAUAAUUUAAGGUUUGAUCUGCUCAAUGAAUAUAUUUUUAAAUUGCCGCAGUAUUUUAACUGUGCAAAGGUAGCAUAAUAAUUAGUUUUUUUAUUGAGAACUGGAAUGAAUGAUUGGACAAGAAAUUUUCUGUCUCUAAAAUUUUUUAUUUAAUUUAACUUUAAAGUUAAAAGGCUUUAAUAGUUAUUAAAGACGAGAAGACCCUAUAGAGUUUUAUUAUUAAAUUUGAUGAUUUUAUUUAUUAUUUAAUUUUUUAAUUUUAAUUAAUUUUGUUGGGGUUGCAUUGAGAUAUAAAUAAUUCUUGAUUAUUAAUCAUUUAUUUGUGAAUAGAAAAUCUAUAUUUUUAAAUAUAAAUUAAAUUACCUUAGGGAUAACAGCGUAAUUUCUUUUUAAAGUUCGUAUUUAAUAGGAAUUUUGCGACCUCGAUGUUGGAUUAAAAUUAAAUGUUUGGUGUAAGGGCUGAAUAAUUAAGUCUGUUCGACUUUUGAAAUUUUACAUGAUCUGAGU
rnacentral:rRNA from 1 species